CCUACGGGGGACAGCAGUAGGGAAUCUUUCACAAUGGGGGAAACCCUGAUGGAGCAACGCCGCGUGCAGGAUGAAGGCUUUCGGGAUGUAAACUGCUAUCAUAAGCGAGGAAAAUGACGGUAACUUACGAAUAAGCAUCGGCUAACUACGUGCCAGCAGCCGCGGUAAUACGUAGGAGCCGAGCAUUAUCCGGAGUGACUGGGUGUAAAGAGUUGGGUAGGAGGCAUACUAAGUAGCUAUUAAAAUCUCGUGGGCUAACCAUUCAGACUAUUAGCGAAACUGUAAAGCUCGAGUGCGUGAGAGGUAAGUGGAAUUUCUAGUGUAGGAGUGAAAUCCGUAGAUAUUAGAAGGAACACCAGUAGCGUAGGCAGGUUACUGGAACGGAACUGACGCUAAGGCACGAAGGCGUAGGGAGCAAACGGGAUUAGAUACCCGAGUAGUC
rnacentral:rRNA from 1 species